CCCACCUACACAGAUUUGUUAUUGUGUUUUUGAUUCGUUAGGUUUUCUCUUGUAUAUAAUCACAUAUGAUUAUAUGUGUCGAGUCACAUGUUGUUAUAUGUAUCGAAUUAUAUAUGAUUUAUAUGUUAUUAAAUACAUAUAAUCACAUGUGAUUAAAUACACGUGAAAAACUAGUGAAUCGAGAAUGCAAAAAUGAAUAUUGUCCACAUAAAUCAUAUGUGAUUAGAUACAUAUAACUAUAUGUGAUUAUAUGUAUUUAAUAAAAUAUUAUUUACGUGGGCCAUAUUUAUUUUCCUGUUUCGAUUUAAUAAUUGGCAUCGUGUAUUAAAUCACAUGUGAUUGUAUGUAUUUAAUCACAUAUGAUUUAUAUGGACAAUAGUUGUUUUCACGUGUUGAUUCAAUAGUUGUUCUUGUGUAUUUAAUCAUAUGUGAUUAUAUAUAUUUAAUCACUUAUGAUUCGUAUGGAAAAUGUUUAUUCUUGCAUCGAUUCAAUAAUUGAUCUAAUAUAUUUAAUCACAUGUGAUUAUAUGUAUUUAAUCACAUAUGAUUUAUGUGGACAAGAUUCAUUUUCCUUCUUAAUUCAAUAGUUGUACUCAUGUACUUAAUCAAAUCUGAUUAUAUGUAUCAUAUCGCAUACGAUUUGUAUUGAUAAUAUUCACGAGUUAAUAUUUUUUCUUAUGUAUUUAAUCAUAUGUGAUUUUAUGUAUUAAUCACAUAUGAUUAAUGUGGAAAAAGAAAAACUAUUUAAUCAAAAACGAGAAAAUGAAUCUUGUGUAUAGAAAUCAUAUAUGACUAAAUGUACAAGAAUAAUCAUUGAACAAGAAUGUGAAAAUGAAUAUUGUACAUAUAAAUCAUAUCUAAUUAGAUGCAUAUACUCUCAUGUAAUUAAGCACACAAGAACAACAACUGAAUCGAGAACGCGAAAAUAAAUAUUUUCCACAUAAAUUCUAUGUGCUUAGAUACAAAUAAUCACAUGUGAUUAUAUGCAUUUAAUCACAUAUGAUAUAUGUGGAUAAUAUUGAUAUUUGUGUUCUCGAUUCAAUAGUUUUUCUCGUGUAUAUAAUCAUAUGUGAUUAUAUGUAUCUAAUCACAUAUGAUUUAUUUAGGCAUCAUUAUUUUUUGUCAAUAUAAAUCAUAUGUGAUUAGAUACAUAUAAUUACAUGUGAUUAUAUGUAUUUAAUCAUAUAUGAUUCCAGUUGACAAAGAACGAUUACUGAAUCGAGAAUGUGACAAUGAAUCGUAUCCACAUAAAUCAUAUAUGAUUGGAUAUGUGAUUAAUUACACAAAAGCAAUUAUUCAAUCGAAACCACAAAAAUAAAUAUUGUCUACAUAAAUCAUAUAUGAUUGGAUACAUAUAAUCACAUGUGAUUACAUGUAU
rnacentral:lncRNA from 1 species